AACAAUCAGUUGUUGGAAGUUAGUUGUAACUUUAAGCCGCACUGAGCGGUGUUUCAUUGUUUUCGUGUCUGAAGUCUUAGCUGAAUUAAGUCGAUGUUGUCAGUGGUGAUACAGACAAUAAACGUUGCAGUGUAUUUAGUGAAGUGCUGUGUGAUAUCCCGCGAGGGUCGUGUCCCGACGGGCCGAUGCGACAGCGUUGCGAGUCGCGAAUCGCGAUCGUAGUGAAAGUGUGCUUCGCUUGACAGUAACUGUCACUGUUUGAAUGUUAAAGAAGUGAUGGAUUUACGUCGACAGGUAUAACGUAAGAAUUAAAAGUGGCUCGCGUAACAAUUAAUGUAACAAGUAACAACGUAGCAGCCAGCAGCCAGCGGGACCGUAACGACGGGACGUAACAUCGAACCCACUUCAUUCACCCUGAUGAAGGACCUCUGAAUGGCCCGAAACUAGUCGGUGCCCACACCCGAUAAAACUGGUAGCGCACCAUGGGCGGCGCCCCAUGGACGGGCUGCUGGAGCGGCUGAGGCGGCCGCGGGCGCUGCGCCGGG